rnacentral:snRNA from 1 species
GUGGUCACUUGGGCAACACAAAUCCUAAACUAGAAUAACAUCAAGAAGAUUAGCAUAGGCCCUGUGCAGAGAACAAUUUUAUAAAGUGUUCCUUAUUUGA